GGAGAGGUGGCAGAGUGGUCGAUUGCACCGGUCUUGAAAACCGGAGUGCGGGAAACCGUACCGAGGGUUCGAAUCCCUCCCUCUCCG
rnacentral:tRNA from 1 species